GAUGAACGCUGGCGGCGUGCCUAAUACAUGCAAGUCGAGCGAACAGACGAGGAGCUUGCUCCUCUGACGUUAGCGGCGGACGGGUGAGUAACACGUGGAUAACCUACCUCUAAGACUGGGAUAACUUCGGGAAACCGGAGCUAAUACCGGAUAAUAUAUUGAACCGCAUGGUUCAAUAGUGAAAGACGGUUUUGCUGUCACUUAUAGAUGGAUCCGCGCCGCAUUAGCUAGUUGGUAAGGUAACGGCUUACCAAGGCAACGAUGCGUAGCCGACCUGAGAGGGUGAUCGGCCACACUGGAACUGAGAAACGGUACAGACUCCUACGGGAGGCAGCAGUAGGGAAUCUUACGCAAUGGGCGAAAGCCUGACGGAGCAACGCCGCGUGAGUGAUGAAGGUCUUCGGAUCGUAAAACUCUGUUAUUAGGGAAGAACAAAUGUGUAAGUAACUAUGCACGUCUUGACGGUACCUAAUCAGAAAGCCACGGCUAACUACGUG
rnacentral:rRNA from 1 species